GUCAGUUACAAAUAUGGCGUUUUGGACGGGCUCGAUAGUUUGCUUGGCCUCUACUCAAGCAAGCUGCCCUGUUGUGAGCUCUCCGGUGGAGAGCCCCACAUGGCAAGAAAAUGAGAAGCCCCCUGAACAGACAAGAGCUGAGGCCCAGGAUACAAUAUCCUGAAAAAAACUGAAUCCUGCUGACAGUUGCCCAAGUGAAGCUGGAAGUGGAUCUUUCUGCAGUGGAUCCUUGAGAUGACUGUAGCCCUGGCUGACAACUUGAUUGCUGCCUGUGAAGGACCCUGAACCAGAGGACUCAGCGAAAUUGUGCCCAGAUUCCUGACCUACAGAGGCAGUGAGAUAAUAAAUGCUGUUGAGGUCACAAA
rnacentral:lncRNA from 1 species